rnacentral:lncRNA from 1 species
AAAAAAGUAAACCUUUUCAUCCUUGUUUGGGACAGACCUCGUGCUGAGCAUGACCUGCUACCAGCGACAGAGGUUCCACGUUCAUCGCAGCUCCAUCAGCGACACUUGCAGCACAUGCAGCAGUAACUUCUAACAAAGCGUUUGAGAUGUUACCAAGCUACCUGCCUGCAUCCCUUCUGGAAAGCCACUGAAGAGAGCUACUCUGUCCCAGCAACACACCCUUUGCAUCCAGCACAACCCCUACUGCUCCAUGAAGGGGAACCACAACAGUUGUAACAUGUUACAGGACGAUCUAACACCAAAAGACUGGGAGAUGAUCUGCAUAUUCAGUCCUUUGACAACUGGAACCAGCUACAUAUUGAAGAUUUGCAUUUGAAAAGGACUUGCUCAUCCUCCCCAUGGGAUCAAAGCAGAAGGAAAUCUUACUGUUGACUUUAGAACUUCAUUAGUUCCCACAGCAACCGACUGAUGACAUGCAGGCAUGGGGCUGUCAGCUCCACAAAGCCUUGCAAGCAACUGAGACCUGAGGUUUGUAGUAGCUGCAUAGUUCAAAGAAAAAAGCUGCACUUCACAUAGAGCUGCAGUAUGACACCGAUCCCUUUGGAAAAUUUCAUACUUCACAGUAUCUUUCCCUAACUCGAAUAGUAUACAUCCACCUCGCUGUUAAGUAUUGUAGUUGGAAUUCCUAUUACAAAGCAUUGCUUUGCAAACAAUAGAGCUCCAAAUCUUACAGAGUGAGAUUCUCU